ensembl:lincRNA 4930401O10Rik RIKEN cDNA 4930401O10 gene
UGUCAUAGAUAGAUGCCUGCCCCUUCUCUUUGUGGGCAUGUAGUCUUUCUUUGAUCGCAGCCUCUUUAUACCCACAGAUUCCCCCAAGUUAACAACUCGUUGAGUGUUUACUCUGGGGACUUCUUGUUUGGGCUCAUCUUCAGCUACCUCGAAUAUGUGGAAUGAUUUCAGGCUAAGAUGGAUCCAACCAACUUUCAUCCAUGCACCCUGUUCUGGGGCUGAGACAGUAAGGAACAUUGCAAGCUACCAUUAGAUUUCUGUUUUUCCUCAUGACUCUCCUCUGGCAUCCUUAAGCAGCACUGGGCAAGAAGAGCCAGUGGACCAGCUCUGCCAGGAUCUAUCCACCUUCCCAUCUCAUAGCCCAAUCUCCAUCUCAGAAGCCAAGAAAUCCAUGCCUGUUUCCUCUGGUAUCAACCAUUCACGGAAUCCUCCUGCCAGCCCUUGGUGGUGUAAAUGGCAGAUGGGAACAGAUGACUGUGGCCUCUCAGCAUCCUGCCUUCCUGUGGUCCUGGGGCAAGUCCAGCGUCAGAGGGAGAACAGGUGCACUGUGUGGAUUGUCUGUGGGAGAAGUUGGUGAAGACUUUCUGAAAGGUCCAGGAGGGUGGAGAAGACAAGGAGAAGGCAUGAGCAAAAGCUUCCAGGUUCAGAAGUGACCUUGAUCUGAACAGGUGCCGACGUGUUGGGAUACGGCAAGCUUGGAUGAUUCUUGACAACAAAGAACCUGGAACCAGGAUUUGGACUGCUUGUAGGAAAGUUUAAAUUAUCUUUAAAGCCUGUCUAAAAGUGG